UACGUAGGGAGCAAGCGUUGUCCGGAAUUAUUGGGCGUAAAGAGCUCGUAGGCGGCUUGUCGCGUCGACCGUGAAAACUUGGGGCUCAACCCCAAGCCUGCGGUCGAUACGGGCAGGCUCGAGUUCGGUAGGGGAGACUGGAAUUCCUGGUGUAGCGGUGAAAUGCGCAGAUAUCAGGAGGAACACCGGUGGCGAAGGCGGGUCUCUGGGCCGAUACUGACGCUGAGGAGCGAAAGCGUGGGGAGCGAACAGG
rnacentral:rRNA from 1 species